UCGCCGACUUACAUAUAUACGGUCCGACUCAACAGUUGGACGCUUACCAGCUGCAAUCUCUUUCUCUUCUCGCCGACUCGAAAUCUGCUGUGACUAUAUAUUUCAAGAUGAUUAAAUCCUGGAAUUAAAAUUAAAAGUAUAAAAUAUAUUUGGAAUUGGAUGACGUAAUUAACUCUAUAUACGGCGAGCGAAGUAAACUUGGUGUCUCGAUGGUGAGAACCAAAGUAACCGAAAACAAGUAUAUCUGCGGAUUAAUUAUUAUUAUCGAGCUAAUGCGCUUCUCUGCCUGAACGUCUCGUUACUUUUCGAAACUGCUCGCGUUUCCCAACGGUUGCAGUACGAAAAAUUAUGAAUGAGCCGGAUACGUCUGUUCGGAAGAAUGAUGAUCCUUGCAAGUGAGUCAUUCAAAUUCCUAUAGUAACCGUGCUUGUAUGGUGCACUUGUACCUUCUCGGCAAGGUUUCCCCGAGGCUUGAAAAAAAUAACGGCGGCAGGCCGCACUUUGAAACCAGAGACGACCAGGCACAGAAGUG